AACAUCGCGCACCUGCGGGAACCUGCGGAGGGAUCAUUACAGAGUUGCAAAACUCCCUAAACCAUUGUGAACGUUACCUAAACCGUUGCCUCGGCGGGCGGCCCGGGUCCUUCCCGGCGCCCCUCGGCCCUCGCGGGCGCCCGCCGGAGGUAAACCAAACUAUUGCAUUGUAUGGCCUCUCUGAGUCUUCUGUACUGAAUAAGUCAAAACUUUCAACAAUGGAUCUCAGAUCGGAAGAGC
rnacentral:misc_RNA from 1 species